rnacentral:rRNA from 1 species
AGUGAACGCUGGCGGUAGGCCUAACACAUGCAAGUCGAACGGCAGCACAGUAAGAGCUUGCUCUUACGGGUGGCGAGUGGCGGACAGGUGAGGAAUACAUCGGAAUCUACUUUUUCGUGGGGGAUAACGUAGGGAAACUUACGCUAAUACCGCAUACGACCUACGGGUGAAAGCAGGGGAUCUUCGGACCUUGCGCGAUUGAAUGAGCCGAUGUCGGAUUAGCUAGUUGGCGGGGUAAAGGCCCACCAAGGCGACGAUCCGUAGCUGGUCUGAGAGGAUGAUCAGCCACACUGGAACUGAGACACGGUCCAGACUCCUACGGGAGGCAGCAGUGGGGAAUAUUGGACAAUGGGCGCAAGCCUGAUCCAGCCAUACCGCGUGGGUGAAGAAGGCCUUCGGGUUGUAAAGCCCUUUUGUUGGGAAAGAAAAGCAGCAGGUUAAUACCCCGCUGUUCUGACGGUACCCAAAGAAUAAGCGCCGGCUAACUUCGUG